AAAAUUAUUCUAUUUAUCUCCACAUCUUCGUGACUCUCUUUUUUCUACUCUCUUCUCUCCACGCUUUCUUUCUUUCUGGUUUACAGGUGGGGUUCGACCGUGGCGGGCUCGGCGAAGGAAGGCAAACGACGGGCUCGAGGGUGCAAAGUUCGUUAGUGAGUCUUGAAGAUGAUGGCCAAUGCAUUGAGGAUGACUUCACUACUUGGAGAUAAUUGGUGUGGUCCAAAUUGGACAAGUUGGUUAGAGACGAGGAUCGUGUAUCUGUUUCUACCCCGUACACUUGCCGCUAUAUUAGAAUACCGUAUAGUUUUAAUGACUUCGUUGUUACAUCACUUGAGAAGAUGAUGCAUUUAUUUUUCUAUGAUUUUUUUUUAUUUUAUUAAUUGUAAAUUUAGUUUAUUUCUUGAUGGUUAAUGGUUGACUUUAAGUUAUUAAAUUAUGUUGAAUAAAGAAGUUUUAUAUGAUGCCUCUUUUAUAUAAGGUGGCCACAUGAUCGUUGUAUCGGAUGGAGCUACUGUUGCGUAACUCCUUGGACAAGAUGAUAGACUCUGUGGUGGUAUAUUGUUUAGCUUAAAUGCUUUGAACUAUCUGCUCUUUUUUCAAAUUCUCUUUUUUGAAUAGGUAGUACUUUUAUGCACAUUGAGCGUGUUCUUUCUA